rnacentral:pre_miRNA from 1 species
GGUUGGAUUACAGGGCAAAUACUCCAUUGGCAGAUAGUUUUCGCUACAUCUAUGUUUAUACAUACAUAUACUGUAUAUACGUAUAUAAAUAAUUAUAUAGUGGUUGAGAUGUAUUAAAAAUUCUUUACUGCCAAAGGAGAUUUGCCCCGCAAUUCAUCC